rnacentral:rRNA from 1 species
GACAGAGGGUGCAAGCGUUGUCCGGAGUUACUGGGCGUAAAGGGCGCGGAGGCGGUCUGCGGCGUCGGCGCUGAAAGCGCCCCGCUUAACGGGGCGAGGCGUGCCGAUACGCGCAGACUUGAGGCGAGCAGAGGGUGGUGGAAUUCCGGGUGGAGCGGUGAAAUGCGUAGAGAUCCGGAGGAACGCCAGUGGGGAAGCCGGCCACCUGGGCUCGUCCUGACGCUGCGGCGCGACCGCGUGGGGAGCAAACCGG